GCGGCAUGCCUAAUACAUGCAAGUCGAGCGCAGGAAGCAAGACAGAUCCCUCGGGGUGACGACUUGUGGAAUGAGCGGCGGAUGGGUGAGUAACACGUGGGCAACCUGCCUGUAAGCUUGGGAUAACUCCGGGAAACCGGUGCUAAUACCAAUAAAACUUCUACUCGCAUGAGUGGAAGAUGAAAGGCGGCUUUUAGCUGUCACUUACAGAUGGGCCUGCGGCGCAUUAGCUAGUUGGUGAGGUAACUGCUUACCAAGGCGACGAUGCGUAGCCGACCUGAGAGGGUGAUCGGCCACACUGGGACUGAGACACGGCCCAGACUCCUACGGGAGGCAGCAGUAGGGAAUCUUCCGCAAUGGACGAAAGUCUGACGGAGCAAUGCCGCGUGAGUGAUGAAGGCCUUAGGGUCGUAAAACUCUGUUGUUAGGGAAGAAUAGGUAUCGGAGUAAUAUGCCGGUACUUUGACGGUACCUUACCAGAAAGCCCCGGCUAACUACGUG
rnacentral:rRNA from 1 species